CGGGAUUAGAGUUUGAUCCUGGCUCAGAUUGAACGCUGGCGGAAUGCUUUACACAUGCAAGUCGAACGGUAGAGGGGGCAACCCCUCGAGAGUGGCGAACGGGUGAGUAAUAUAUCGGAACGUGCCCAGUCGUGGGGGAUAACGUAGCGAAAGUUACGCUAAUACCGCAUACGAUCUACGGAUGAAAGCGGGGGACUCGCAAGAGCCUCGCGCGAUUGGAGCGGCCGAUAUCAGAUUAGGUAGUUGGUGGGGUAAAGGCUCACCAAGCCAACGAUCUGUAGCUGGUCUGAGAGGACGACCAGCCACACUGGAACUGAGACACGGUCCAGACUCCUACGGGAGGCAGCAGUGGGGAAUUUUGGACAAUGGACGCAAGUCUGAUCCAGCCAUUCCGCGUGCAGGAUGAAGGCCCUCGGGUUGUAAACUGCUUUUGUACGGAACGAAAAGGUUUCUAUUAAUACUAGGAGCUCAUGACGGUACCCGUAAGAAUAAGCACCGGCUAACUACGUGCCAGCAGCCGCGGUAAUACGUAGGGUGCAGGCGUUAAUCGGAAUUACUGGGCGUAAAGCGUGCGCAGGCGGUUAUGUAAGACAGAGGUGAAAUCCCCGGGCUCAACCUGGGAACUGCCUUUGUGACUGCAUAGCUAGAGUACGGUAGAGGGGGAUGGAAUUCCGCGUGUAGCAGUGAAAUGCGUAGAUAUGCGGAGGAACACCGAUGGCGAAGGCAAUCCCCUGGACCUGUACUGACGCUCAUGCACGAAAGCGUGGGGAGCAAACAGGAUUAGAUACCCUGGUAGUCCACGCCCUAAACGAUGUCAACUGGUUGUUGGGUCUUCACUGACUCAGUAACGAAGCUAACGCGUGAAGUUGACCGCCUGGGGAGUACGGCCGCAAGGUUGAAACUCAAAGGAAUUGACGGGGGCCCGCACAAGCAGCGGAGCGUGUUGCUUAAUUCGAUGCUACGCGAAGAACCUUACCUAGGUUAAAUCAUUGGGAAAAGCCACAGAGAUGUGGUGUCCUUCGGGGCUCAAUGAAGGUGGUGCAUGGCUGUCGUCAGCUCGUGUCGUGAGAUGUUGGGUUAAGUCCCGCAACGAGCGCAACCCUUAUUCUAUGUUGCCAGCACGUAAUGGUGGGGACUCGUAGGAGACUGCCGGGGUCAACUCGGAGGAAGGCGGGGAUGACGUCAAGUCAUCAUGCCCCUUAUGUCUAGGGCUGCAAACACGCUACAAUGGCCGGUACAAAGGGCUGCGAAACCGCGAGGUUUAGCGAAUCCCAUAAAGCCGGUCUCAGUUCGGAUUGGAGGCUGCAACUCGCCUCCAUGAAGCUGGAGUUGCUAGUAAUCCCGGAUCAGCMACGCCGGGGUGAAUACGUUCCCGGGCCUUGUACACACCGCCCGUCACACCACGAAAGUCGGUAACACCCGAAGCCGGUGGCCUAACCGUAAGGAAGGAGCCGUCGAAGGUGGGAUCGGUGAUUGGGGUGAAGUCGUAACAAGGUAAA
rnacentral:rRNA from 1 species